CAGAAUGUAGUGAUAUGAAUGGAAUACAUAAGAAACUGUAAGCAAAUAUGAUGAUUAUUUACAAAUAAAAGUCAAACUUCAAUUUUGCAAAGUGCAAUAAAGUUGAUUAAUUCAUCUAUAUUUUGUUGGUUUUUGGACAUCAGGAUUUCCGGUUUCACAAAGAUUUGAGUCAGCAAUUCCAAUCCUGUGGAAAUAUUUUUUGGUGUAAGUAUGACCAGUGAGCAAUCGAUUAAGAACCAGGGCUGUUUAGCAGGCGCUCGGAAGAAUUGGUAGAAGAGUGACUCAAUGCGUUUCGACGCAUCUGUGACCGACAGACAGAAGUUGAUUGGUGAACCAACAUUUGCUGCAUGCUUCGCAAAAUAAUCGGCUGUUUCAUUGAUUGGUAUACCGACAUGGGAAGGUGUCCAAACAAACGAGAUUUUAAUUAAAUGCGAAUUAACAAUUUUGUUUAGAAUAU